rnacentral:rRNA from 1 species
CGAACGGGUGAGUAACACGUGAGCAACCUGCCCUAGGCUUUGGGAUAACCCCGGGAAACCGGGGCUAAUACCGAAUAUGACUUCUGGUCGCAUGACCGGUGGUGGAAAGUUUUUCGGCCUGGGAUGGGCUCGCGGCCUAUCAGCUUGUUGGUGGGGUGAUGGCCUACCAAGGCGACGACGGGUAGCCGGCCUGAGAGGGCGACCGGCCACACUGGGACUGAGACACGGCCCAGACUCCUACGGGAGGCAGCAGUGGGGAAUAUUGCACAAUGGGCGGAAGCCUGAUGCAGCGACGCCGCGUGAGGGAUGACGGCCUUCGGGUUGUAAACCUCUUUCAGCAGGGACGAAGCGUAAGUGACGGUACCUGCAGAAGAAGCGCCGGCCAACUACGUGCCAGCAGCCGCGGUAAGACGUAGGGCGCGAGCGUUGUCCGGAUUUAUUGGGCGUAAAGAGCUCGUAGGCGGCUUGUCGCGUCGACUGUGAAAACCCGCAGCUCAACUGCGGGCCUGCAGUCGAUACGGGCAGGCUAGAGUUCGGUAGGGGAGACUGGAAUUCCUGGUGUAGCGGUGAAAUGCGCAGAUAUCAGGAGGAACACCGGUGGCGAAGGCGGGUCUCUGGGCCGAUACUGACGCUGAGGAGCGAAAGCGUGGGGAGCGAACAGGAUUAGAUACCCUGGUAGU